CCUACGGGUGGCUGCAGUGGGGAAUAUUGCUCAAUGGGCGAAACCCUGAAGCAGCCACGCCGCGUGAGGGAAGACGGUUUUCGGAUUGUAAACCCCUUUUUUUAGGGAAGCUAAUGACGGUAUCUAUCGAAUAAGCACCGGCUAACUACGUGACAGCAGCCGCGGUAAUACGGAGGGAGCAAGCUGUAUUCGGAAUCACUGGGCGUAAAGGGCGCGUAGGCGGGAUCGCAAGUCCGAUGGGAAAUUCUAGGGCUUAACCCCAGAACUGCAUUUGAAACUGGGCAUCUAGAGUGUGGGAGAGGUAUGUGGAAUUCGUGGUGUAGCGGUAAAAUGCGUAGAGAUCAAGAGGAAAACCCAUUGCGAAGGCGGCCUGCGGGA
rnacentral:rRNA from 1 species